AAUUCGCUGUUAUUGUAGUGAGGAAUUCUCCCCGAUUUCGAUAGGAAUUCUUCUUACAGGAAUAGGAGACUAUAAACUGUUCGCCUUGAAUCUCGAAUUCGUAAAUAAUUCUUAGAGAAUUCACUGUGAUUUCUCUCUUUCACGCUGGUAUUGUAUUUUAAAGUAAUUUUAGCUGCCACAUUCAAAUCUUUCCUCAUGGGAAGGAGACGACUUUUUCAGUUGAGUGCUCGCCACAAAAGAAGACUUGUAAAAAAACCAAAUGAAAUUUUCGAGGAAAAUUUAAAUAGUGACCUAGUCCAGGCCGAAGGGGAAAACAUUUAUUCAGAACAAGUGUUCGAGGAAGAUCUGGAAGAAAUUGAAGUCGGAAGUAACACGAGUGAAGUAAGUUCAGCUGAAACAAUUAGCUCAGAGAGUGAAGGUGAAAUUGAUACUUUUGAUAUAAGACAUAGUAUCCAAAAUUAGUCCAAGAUUGAAAAAUUGAAAUCUGCUGGUGGAUCUGAGGUGGCUACCGUGGUCGAGAGCAUUCUCAAGAAGCUGAUGACCGAUGAUUUGCAAGCUAAGUAUAGUCUUUACGGAGAAAAGGGAAAGAACUCUUUAGUGAAAGUUAAGGGGUUAAGACAACUCAUUAAAGAUGCGGUAGCAGCUCACCCUAGGACUCCAAAUUAUCCAGACGAGGGCACAGUUGACGAGGAAAUUCAAAAAUCCCUUAAGAAAGUCGCAGAUAGAGUUGGGAAGCGUAUGAGGAAGUGACUUGACUUCGCGGCCAAUUUCACUACCCGGUUCAUCUGAUUAUUCAACUUAUAUUUAUUUUAAUAAAAAGUUAUUUAUAUUGCAUAAUAUUUAGAAGAAGUAAAAUAAACUAUAAACGGAAUUAUGUAA